rnacentral:miRNA from 1 species
UAAGUGCUACACUGUUUGGGUAG